GUUUGAACAUGAUAGGCCAUGUCAUGCUGCAGCAAGAGAAACAAGUGAGGGUAAGGAGUAGAGUACCAGCAGUGGGAAUAACAUGUGAAGCACUGAACCAAGUCAUGAACAGAGAUUACAUUCACACAACAAGCCACUCAUAAUUUCAAAGUACAAACCAAAGCACACUUGCAUUUAGCAGUUACCAAUUCAGCAGGUUACAUUUGAUCCAAUCACUUAAUCCUAAUCCUAAUGCUACCUGCUACAUCCUGUUGCGUACCAAAUCCAUUAACAUUCACACAACAAGCCAUUCAUUACUUCAAGCCAAAGCAAAGUCACUCAAGUUCAACCUGCAACAUGAACAUCAAGUCAUUAAAAACCAUUCCAAUAUAACCUCAAUCCAAUCCUAACCUGCAACAGCUAGUCAGGUUUCAAUUCACUCAUUCAUUAAUCAACUCAAGCUAACAUAACUAACUGAGUUUAUCACUCACUAACCAACUGAGUUUUCAGUUAACUCGGUGAGUCAUGUCCAACUAACUCCAAACCAUAUUUAACUAACUCCUAACCAUAUUCAAAAGCUAACAAGUUCCAAGACUAGCCUUUAUUUAAGAAAUUCAUCUCUCACAUUUUCACCACCCUUGGAAAUUUGUUGGAACCUGCGCAUUCUCUCUAUUGCAACCUCUUCCCUCACCCUACUCAAAGCUCUAUUUCCCCCAAGAAGCCAUUGAAGCUUCACAUCGAAGCUUCAAUUUUGCUAGAGGUAAGACGCAACAUCCUUACUCUCACUGUUCUCAAACUCAGAAAAAGAAGAAUGAGACGAAAGAAGAAGAAGAAGAAAGAAUCAAGCUCAGGAAACUUAUCGGUGGAUUUUCCGAUCAUCUUCUCUAGUAUGCAUUUCUUAUUCCGUGGCAUUUUCUUUCUUUGAGCACACCAGGUUGUAGAAUUUAGGGUAAGAAGUAGAAGCCCCUUAGUGUUAGAGUUUGAUUUGCACCGAGCACUGUUUAAUUUGAUUUGUAGGAGGUUAGGGUUCGUCUAGUUAUCCGUCCAAUUCGACCGAUACAGGGACUAUUGCAUAAUUUCAUCCCCAUAUUCAUGAUUAGCUUGUCUUUGUGAUUCUAUUGGUGGUGGUAGUUAGUUUGUAAGCCAACACUGGCAUCGGCGAUGGCCGCCGGCGCGAUGAGCCAAGUGAACUGACGGCGAGAUGGAUAGAAGGUUGGGCGCGCUGUGAGUUUCAUUUUGAAUCAGUUGACUUAGACAAGUCAACAAAGGAGAGAGGAUAUGGAAUUAAUCCUUGCAAGGCCUAUAAAUUUAUUUGUUAAACGCGUUGUAUUUCUAAUACACCCCCACUGGUUAUUAGAAGAAGUUGAACUGGGCUUGACCAAGCCCAUUGGUACCUUUUGCUAAUUCACCACAUGUUUCCAACGUAUACCCCCUGGAAAUGUUUGAGAUUUUGAUUAGGCUCAGACGCAACCUAUGUACGUUUUCG
rnacentral:lncRNA from 1 species